rnacentral:rRNA from 1 species
GAUGAACGCUGGCGGCGUGCUUAACACAUGCAAGUCGAACGGAAAGGCUCCUGCUUUCAGGGGUACUCGAGUGGCGAACGGGUGAGUAACACGUGGGUGAUCUGCCCUUCACUUCGGGAUAAGCCUGGGAAACUGGGUCUAAUACCGGAUAGGACCACAUUUUGGAUGGUGUGGUGGAAAGUUGUUCGGUGUGGGAUGAGCUCGCGGCCUAUCAGCUUGUUGGUGGGGUAAUGGCCUACGAAGGCGUCGACGGGUAGCCGGCCUGAGAGGGUGUACGGCCACAAUGGGACUGAGAGACGGCCCAGACUCCUACGGGAGGCAGCAGUGGGGAAUAUUGCACAAUGGGCGCAAGCCUGAUGCAGCGACGCCGCGUGGGGGAUGACGGCCUUCGGGUUGUAAACUCCUUUCGCUAGGGACGAAGCGCAAGUGACGGUACCUGGAGAAGAAGCACCGGCUAACUACGUG